UGAUGAUGAUGAUGAUGAUGAUGAUGAUGAUGAUGAUGAUGAUUUGAUUGAAGUGAAUAUUAAAAUGAAAAUGAAAUCAAUUGUGAGCGAUAAAUAAAAUGGCAGACAUCGUCGUCAUCGUCAUCGUCAUCGUCAUCCUCGUCG
rnacentral:pre_miRNA from 2 species